AAGGUUGAUAUAAAACUCUUUACCUGAAAGCAGAUAAGAUUCAUUCUUUAUAAAAUAUCCACUGAUUAUUCAUAAAAACUGAUCCUAUGUUAAGAAAAUUCUCAAAUUCCCCCAAAGAGAAUUUUUCCUAUCACAACACACUGACCCUAACGCAUUUAAACUAGAAAUAAACACAAUUUUGGAAAGGGAUAAAGAGAAAUCUAACUUAGCGGUUCUAA
rnacentral:lncRNA from 1 species